CAACAAGAGGGUAUCAAAUCAUAAACCCAAUCAUAACCCAAAUCAUUUGAUCAACUCUUUUUGUCUCCCAUCUCAAACGUUAACCCAAUUAACCCACCUCACCAACUAACCCAACUCACCAGAUCGUUACUUCCCACCGCACCAUUAAUAAACAUUAAACACCCCUCUUUCUCAUUGAGAUCUACACACACACACAGAUCAGCUGAAAGCAACAACCUCGACAGUUGGUACGAUGAGGGAAGAACCCACCACCGACAAUAACCACAGCAACGGAUCAUCAUCGCCGCCACCACCGCCGCCACAAGCACUGGUUGAGAGGCUCAAAGAUUAUGGCCAAGAAGAUGCCUUUGCGUUCUGGGAUCAACUGUCUGCUGAUCAACAGAACUUUCUUGUUCAAGAAAUUGAGAGUUUGGAUCUUCAAAGGAUUGAUAGAAUGAUUCGCUGCUCAUUUCAGUCAUAUGGGCUGCCGCCGGCUUCCAUAGAGCCAGUGCCAGAGGGUUUUGUGUCAACCGUCGAAGAUAGAAAGAUUGAAGAUAGAGAAAAAUGGUGGAAUAUGGGGUUGAAGGCUAUUUCCGAAGGGAAAUUAGCGGUUCUUCUUUUAUCAGGUGGACAGGGGACACGGCUAGGAAGUUCUGCUCCAAAAGGAUGUUUUAAUGUUGGACUUCCGUCAGGAAAGUCACUUUUCCAACUUCAGGCUGAGCGGAUUAUGUGUCUGCAGAGAUUAGCAGCUCAAUCAUUAGCCGAGGGUUCUGGUAAUGUUGUACCGAUACAUUGGUACAUAAUGACCAGCCCGUUCACCGAUAAAGCCACACGUGACUUUUUUAAAAAUAACAAAUAUUUUGGUCUCGAUACUGAUCAGGUCUCAUUCUUUUCACAAGGCACAAUACCUUGCGUUUCGAAAGACGGUAGAUUUAUCAUGGAAACUCCAUUCCAGGUGGCAAAAGCUCCUGACGGAAAUGGAGGAGUUUAUUCAGCAUUGAAGUAUUCAAGACUAUUAGAAGAUAUGUCCACGAGGGGUGUCAAAUAUUUGGAUUGUUACGGAGUAGACAAUGCAUUGGUUCGUGUUGGUGAUCCUACUUUCUUGGGCUAUUUUAUCGACAAAGGCGUAGCUUCGGCCGCUAAAGUUGUCCGUAAGGCAUACCCUCAAGAAAAGGUCGGUGUAUUUGUACGACGCGGUAAAGGAGGACCUGUAACUGUAGUUGAAUAUAGUGAGUUGGAUCAAUCACUAGCAAGUGAAAUUAAUCAGAGAACCGGCCGACUUCGUUAUUGUUGGAGUAAUGUUUGCCUCCACAUGUUCACUUUGGACUUCUUAAACCAAGUUGCGAGCGGUCUCGAGAAGGACAGCAUGUUAGUAUUCACUCAACCUCUAAGUCGGAGGAUACCACCUUGCGGAGAAGAAAAUCCCAUCAAUCCAUGGUCAAACGGUCGGAUACAAGCUGGAACAGUUCAUAUUUGAUGCAUUUCCAUAUGCACCUUCAACCGCACUUUAUGAGGUGUUACGUGAAGAAGAAUUUGCCCCUGUGAAAAACGUCAACGGGUCAAACUUUGACACUCCAGACAGUGCACGGCUUCUGGUUCUCCGUUUACAUGCACGCUGGGUGGUGGCAGCUGGCGGGUUUUUAACACACUCAGUGCCUUUAUAUUCUACUGGCGUUGAGGUUUCACCACUUGUUUCAUACGUCGGAGAAAAUCUUGAACCAAUCUGUCGUGGUAGAACAUUCCAUGCCCCUUGUGAAAUCACAUUCUAGCUUUUCAUUUCAUUUUAUUUUAUUUUUAUAUUUAUUUUGUUGUGUUUACAUUUAAUUUAUCUUUUGGCAUUUUAGUUUCUUCAUAUAGCAAGAUGGAAAUUUGUAUAAACCUCUCAUAGCUCUGCUCAUAUUGAGAUUGUGUAACACUCAUUUUUUUAUGUAAUAUAUUCUAUUUGCCCAUUUAUAAUA